AUUUGUUUGGCGUUGGUUUGGCGUGUUUCAAUGGGGGCGGCUGCUUCGAUGAUGCGAUCCAGCGAUGGAUAUCGUGGCGGAUUGUAGUCUGGUGGUGAAAGUGAACCUUCUGUCAGCCCGACGGCACGCGCGAACGACGGAGCUCGCUCGCGGUUCAUUUGCGUUUGCCUGGUAGCCGGCCCCAGCACCGUCUCCGCGGCCAAUGGCCACUAGUGCAG